AUUGAACGCUGGCGGCAGGCCUAACACAUGCAAGUCGAGCGGAUGAAGGGAGCUUGCUCCUGGAUUCAGCGGUGGACGGGUGAGUAAUGCCUAGGAAUCUGCCUGGUCGUGGGGGAUAACGUCCGGAAACGGGCGCUAAUACCGCAUACGUCCUGAGGGAGAAAGUGGGGGAUCUUCGGACCUCACGCUAUCAGAUGAGCCUAGGUCGGUAUAGCUAGUUGGAGGGGUAACGGCCUACCAAGGCGACGAACCGUAACUGGUCUGAGAGGAUGAUCGGUCACACUGGAACUGAGACACGGCCCAGACUCCUACGGGAGGCAGCAGUGGGGAAUAUUGGACAAGGGGCGAAAGCCGGAUACAGCCAAGCCGCGGGUGGGAAGAAGGAGUUCGGAUGGGAAAGCACUUUAGGUUGGAAGGAAGGGCAGUACGUUAAUACCUGGCGGUUUUGACGGUACCAAGAGAAUAAGCACCGGCUAACUUCGUG
rnacentral:rRNA from 1 species